UUGAAGAGUUUGAUCAUGGCUCAGAUUGAACGCUGGCGGCAGGCCUAACACAUGCAAGUCGAACGGUAACAGGAAGAAGCUUGCUUCUUUGCUGACGAGUGGCGGACGGGUGAGUAAUGUCUGGGAAACUGCCUGAUGGAGGGGGAUAACUACUGGAAACGGUAGCUAAUACCGCAUAACGUCGCAAGACCAAAGAGGGGGACCUUCGGGCCUCUUGCCAUCGGAUGUGCCCAGAUGGGAUUAGCUAGUAGGUGGGGUAACGGCUCACCUAGGCGACGAUCCCUAGCUGGUCUGAGAGGAUGACCAGCCACACUGGAACUGAGACACGGUCCAGACUCCUACGGGAGGCAGCAGUGGGGAAUAUUGCACAAUGGGCGCAAGCCUGAUGCAGCCAUGCCGCGUGUAUGAAGAAGGCCUUCGGGUUGUAAAGUACUUUCAGCGGGGAGGAAGGAGUAAAGUUAAUACCUUUGCUCAUUGACGUUACCCGCAGAAGAAGCACCGGCUAACUCCGUGCCAGCAGCCGCGGUAAUACGGAGGGUGCAAGCGUUAAUCGGAAUUACUGGGCGUAAAGCGCACGCAGGCGGUUUGUUAAGUCAGAUGUGAAAUCCCCGGCUCAACCGGGAACUGCAUCUGAUACUGGCAAGCUUGAGUCUCGUAGAGGGGGUAGAAUUCCGUGUAGCGGUGAAAUGCGUAGAGAUCUGGAGGAAUACCGGUGGCGAAGGCGGCCCCCUGGACGAAGACUGACGCUCAGGUGCGAAAGCGUGGGGAGCAAACAGGAUUAGAUACCACGGUAGUCCACGCCGUAAACGAUGUCGACUUGGAGGUUGUGCCCUUGAGGCGUGGCUUCCGGAGUUAACGCGUUAAGUCGACCGCCUGGGGAGUACGGCCGCAAGGUUAAAACUCAAAUGAAUUGACGGGGGCCCGCACAAGCGGUGGAGCAUGUGGUUUAAUUCGAUGCAACGCGAAGAACCUUACCUGGUCUUGACAUCCACGGAAGUUUUCAGAGAUGAGAAUGUGCCUUCGGGAACCGUGAGACAGGUGCUGCAUGGCUGUCGUCAGCUCGUGUUGUGAAAUGUUGGGUUAAGUCCCGCAACGAGCGCAACCCUUAUCCUUUGUUGCCAGCGGUCCGGCCGGGAACUCAAAGGAGACUGCCAGUGAUAAACUGGAGGAAGGUGGGGAUGACGUCAAGUCAUCAUGGCCCUUACGACCAGGGCUACACACGUGCUACAAUGGCGCAUACAAAGAGAAGCGACCUCGCGAGAGCAAGCGGACCUCAUAAAGUGCGUCGUAGUCCGGAUUGGAGUCUGCAACUCGACUCCAUGAAGUCGGAAUCGCUAGUAAUCGUGGAUCAGAAUGCCACGGUGAAUACGUUCCCGGGCCUUGUACACACCGCCCGUCACACCAUGGGAGUGGGUUGCAAAAGAAGUAGGUAGCUUAACCUUCGGGAGGGCGCUUACCACUUUGUGAUUCAUGACUGGGGUGAAGUCGUAACAAGGUAACCGUAGGGGAACCUGCGGUUGAUCACCUCCUU
rnacentral:rRNA from 1 species